rnacentral:rRNA from 1 species
AUUGAACGCUGGCGGCAGGCCUAACACAUGCAAGUCGAACGAGUGGCGGACGGGUGAGUAAUGUCUGGGAAUCUGCCUGAUGGAGGGGGCUAACUACUGGAAACGGUAGCUAAUACCGCAUACCAUCAGAUGUUCCCAGAUGGGAUUAGCUUGUUGGUGGGGUAACGGCUCACCAAGGCGACGAUCCCUAGCUGGUCUGAGAGGAUGACCAGCCACACGGGAACUGUGACACGGUCCAGAAUCAUACGGGAGGCAGCAGUAGGGAAUAUUGCACAAUGAGCGCAAGCCUGAUGCAGACAUACCGCGUGUAUGGAGAAGGCCUUCGGGUGGUAAAGUACUUUCAGCGAGGAGGCGUUACCCGCAGAAGAAGCACCGGCUAACUCCGUGCCAGCAGCCGCGGUAAUAC